rnacentral:rRNA from 1 species
AAUACCAAGAAAUUAAGUCAUAUAUAAAAGGUAAAAAGACAGUUAAAUUAGAAAGUAGAUUACAUACAUUUUUGUAAAAAAGUAAAAUUUGAAUACAAAUUUCUAAUUUAAUAGUAAUUUUUAUGUUGAAGCUGUGAAAGCCCUGAGGGAAACUGGGAUUAGAUACCCCAUUAUUCUUGGCCUUAAAUUAAUAAAUAAUAUAUUUACCGGAGUACUAUGAAUACCUAAAAUUUAAAACUCAAAGAGCUUGGCGGUGUUUUAGACCACUUAGGGGAACCUGUCUCAUAAUCGAUAAUCCACGAUAAACCUGACCUUUUUUUGUAUUCAGCUUGUAUACCGUUGUCGUCAGGUAACUUUUUAGAAAUUAGAAGUUAGCUAUAAGAAUUGUAAACUAAAACGUCAAAUCAAGGUGCAGUCUACAAAAAGGGGAGGAUGGGUUACAAUUAUAAAAUUAUAAUACGGAAAGCUGUCAGAAUAAAAAGCUUUGAAGGAGGACUUGAAAGUAAAAUAAAAUAUAUAAAUAUCUUGAAUAAGGCUCUGAAACGUGC